UACGAAGGGGGCUAGCGUUGCUCGGAAUGACUGGGCGUAAAGGGCGCGUAGGCGGCUUACAUAGUUAGGCGUGAAAUUCCUGGGCUCAACCUGGGGACUGCGUCUAAUACAUGUAGGCUUGAGUGUGAAAGAGGGUCGUGGAAUUUCCAGUGUAGAGGUGAAAUUCGUAGAUAUUGGAAAGAACACCGGUGGCGAAGGCGGCGGCCUGGUUCAUUACUGACGCUGAGGCGCGACAGCGUGGGGAGCAAACCGG
rnacentral:rRNA from 1 species